GCUGAAGCUUUCUUCCUUUCUGCUGUUUGCCUGGGUGAUUGCCGUAGAAAUGGGCAAGUUCAUGAAGCCGGGGAAGGUGGUGCUGGUCCUGGCCGGACGUUAUUCCGGACGCAAAGCCGUCAUCGUGAAGAACAUUGAUGAUGGCACCUCAGAUCGCCCCUACAGCCAUGCCCUUGUGGCUGGAAUUGACCGCUAUCCCCGCAAAGUGACAGCUGCGAUGGGCAAGAAGAAGAUUGCCAAGAGGUCAAAGAUCAAAUCUUUUGUGAAAGUUUAUAACUACAAUCACCUCAUGCCCACAAGGUACUCUGUGGAUAUCCCCUUGGACAAAACCGUUGUCAACAAGGAUGUCUUCAGAGACCCUGCUCUUAAACACAAGGCCCGACGUGAAGCCAAGGUCAAGUUCGAAGAGAGGUACAAGACGGGCAAGAACAAGUGGUUCUUCCAGAAGCUGCGGUUUUAGAUGUUUUUUGUUUCCGUCAUUAAAAAUUUUUUAAAUCCCAAAAAAAAAAAAAAAAAA